GCGCACCAGGCGAGAAACUUCACAAUGUGCGAAAGCACGAUGAGGGAAUCCCAAGUGCUUGCACGUAAGUGUAAGCUGUUUCUCUGUCUAAAACGCAGAGAGAGUAAGGGCUGGGUAAGACGGGUGCCAGCCGCCGCGGUAAUACCUGCAGCUCGAGUGGUGACCGUUAUUAUUGGGCCUAAAACGUCCGUAGCCGGUUUAAUAAAUGCCUGGGUAAAUCGGACCGCUUAACGGUUCGAAUUCCGGGUAGACUGUUAAACUUGAGACCGGGAGAAGUUAGAGGUACUCCUGGGGUAGAGGUGAAAUUCUGUAAUCCUAGGGGGACCACCAGUGGCGAAGGCGUCUAACUAGAACGGGUCUGACGGUGAGGGACGAAGCCCUGGGGCGCAAACGGGAUUAGAUACCCCGGUAGU
rnacentral:rRNA from 1 species